AACAUGAUCAGAAAAUACAAGACAAGCUUCAAUAGAAGCUAAACAUCCCUAUACAUAGGAAGUUGGAUGCCAAUCUUGUAUAUUGUAUGAUAGCUAAGUCAUGUCUUGUGUCUAGAAAUUGCCAUAUUUGUGUGUUUGUCAUAUUGAAUAUGGGUAUUGUGUCAUAUCUAAGCUAAGGCUUCAUUAAAAGCAUGUUACUGGGUUUGCUGUUUGGCCCAUUCUAUUGAGGCCCAUGAAGUACUUCAUAAUAAGUAUUUAAAGGGAAAAAAUUCCUCUUCCUUACAUAUGUAACUUUACUUGUCUAAACAAUGAAGUGAUAUAUGGUUAAGUGGAGGAAACCUUGGUUAGGUCUUCUACAAUUUUGUGAAUCUUCAAGAAGGUUUUAAUCUCUAGUAAUGGAUUUAAGAGGAAUUGAUGGACAUGCUGUAUGUGAAGGUCCAAUUGAGCAGGUGGUCAGAACAGAAACUAGAGAAGCUGAAGAUUUAUUGAAAAAAUUGGAUAUUCUGAGUCCUUCUUUGUCAAGAAAUUCAGCUCGUGGAAUAUUUUGCUCCCGGUCCCUCAAUCUAAGGUCAAUUAGUGCCAUUGGAUAUGACAUGGACUAUACCUUGGUGCAUUAUAAUGUGAAGGCUUGGGAAGGGCGGGCCUAUGACUACUGUAUGGAAAACCUCAAGAAAAUGGGUUUCCCUGUGGAUGGACUUACAUUUGAUCCAGACCUGGUUAUUAGAGGUCUUGUCAUAGAUAAAGAGAGAGGUAAUUUGGUUAAAGCUGAUCGAUUCGGUUGUAUAAAAAGAGCUAUGCAUGGAACCAAGCUGUUAUCUACUCAUGCUGUGAGGGAGAUAUAUGGGAGAGAAAUGGUGGACUUGCAGCAAGAGGGUCGAUGGGUGUUUCUAAGCACAUUCUUCUCCGUGUCGGAAGCUGUGGCUUACAUGCAGAUGGUUGACAUGUUGGAUGAUGGGGUUAUACCAGCCAAUCUUGGACCCUUUGAUUAUAAAGGGCUUUAUAAGGCUAUGGGAAUGGCCCUUCUCACGGCACAUCUAGAAGGUCACCUCAAGAAUGAGAUUAUGUCCAACCCUGAACAAUUUGUGGAGCUUGAUCCGGAAUUGCCCUUGACACUUUUGGAUCAAAAGGAGGCCGGAAAAAAGCUUGUGCUCAUUACCAAUUCAGAUUAUCAUUAUACAGACAAAAUGAUGCAUUAUUCCUUUAAUAGAUUCCUUCCUAGUGACAUGGGUUGGCGAGAUUUAUUUGACAUUAUUGUUGUCUCGGCAAACAAACCAGAAUUCUUCCAAAUGUCACACCCCAUGUAUGAGCUGGUAACAGAUGAGGGUUUGAUGCGUCAAUGCUUUAAGGCUCAAAUUGGUGGUUUGUACUCAGGAGGGAGUGCAAAGAUGGUUGAAAGUUCCCUGAAUAUACAUGGAAAUGAUAUACUUUACAUUGGAGACCACAUUUACACUGAUGUUAACCAAUCCAAAGUCCAUUUGCAAUGGCGAACAGCAUUGAUUUGUCGAGAAUUGGAAGAAGAAUAUAAUGCCUUAAUUCAUAGCCGAGGUUAUAGACAAUCACUGUUGGAGCUUAUAAAUCAAAAGGAAGUUGUUGGUGAUAUCUUUAACCAACUACAACUUACUCUACAGAGGCGAAGUAAAAGGCUUAAUGCUCAAACCGUUGGUGCAACUGACAUGGACAAUGAAAACCUUAGUCAAAGCAUGCAGAAAUUACUUGCCGUCAUGCAAAUACUAGAUGGAAAAAUUGCUCCAAUGCUAGAGGCAUAUGGGGCUCUCUUCAAUAAAAGGUCUUCUAUACACACACAUACACACACACAUAUAGCUUAUAUAGCUUAUGUAUACUCAGCUAUACCCUUGGUUGGAUAAUGGUCCUGAGUUCCUUAAACCUUAAAGUAGUUGCGCUGUUUUCUGAAAAUGCCAUAUGCAGGUCCUGUUCUUUCAGUCUAUGGCACUCCCAUCAUCACCAUUUGAACUAUGUUUUGUUCUUGGUCUGCUUUGGUGGAUCUUGGUUCCUUGGUCAAGGGUAUUGUUGGAAGCUCGUUCAUUGCCUGCCUGAAUUCUUAGGAUAUAAUUGAUAUUUGUAAGUUGAAAAUAUGGAGAAUUAUUUUCAAUGAAUAUACCAGGCAGAUAUUCCUCCUUUUUAUAAAUGGGAACUACAUCAGGUGAUAUCGUAAAAUAGGGAAACUUUAUCCUAAACAAAGGCAAGAAAAUAUCACAACAAUGAAUUGCCAAAAUAAAGGCUAAACUAGAAAGGAACAAAAUAGUUACUAGCUAUUCAUGGAAACAAAAUAAAUACAACUUUAUUGGUGGGGUAUUAAAGCGUUCAACUCUUUUAGAACUUUUUCCACCCAUAACACCUGACAAAUUCGAUGAGUCACUGUCUAAAUCAGCUUCUCCAUUGAUCGUGCUGUUACAGUUUUUUUUUCCUUCUCCAACUACCAGAUUUCUUCCAACAAGAGUGCUAUAGCCUGAUGUUGAUAUUCAGUCUAUUUAUACUUCCAACCUAAUUUGCAUGAGUGUAUGAUAGGAGCUUAGUUAUUUUGAGAUGUCUAAGUUCCACAUCGAGUAAUAUAAGAUGCUUGAUAGAAAAUAUAAGUAUUUGAUUAUUUUCUCAAUUAAACUAGUUUUCCGUGGUGGGUUGCCCAAGUGCCUGGGUACUUGCCAAUUAAUAUUAGAGUUGGUUGUAAGUGGUGAGACAAAAAGAUGUGUCUCACACCAGCGAUCACACUGCUUGUAGUCGCACCACCCCCAGAAACGCCAUGUGCCACCAUCAACAUGAGAACAUGUGACCCACACCCUGUUCCAGAGACACCCACUUGUCGCUGCUGCCACCAAAGACAGGCUUGCAGAGAUCCGUAGUCCCAUCCCAAAAGUGGAGCUAAUAUAUUCAGAGGAUUCUAAAGGAUGGUCAAGAUCAUACCGCAUCAAUGGUAGAAAACCAGGGUCAAAUGACCCUAAUUUUGAGAUAAUGAAGAUUCAUUGGCAUUCCAUGGUUCCUGAAGGUGGUUGUAUUUCAAGAAGAACUCAAGUAAAUAUUUAAUAUACAGACUACGCCAAUUAUUGAUUGAUAGACACCAAUUAGUGGGUACUGCUCAUUUAUUUGAGAGAACCUAGUUACUUGGAGAAGUGAAAAACAACUUGUGGUUGCUAGGAGUUGUGCAGAAGUUCAGUUCAGAUCCAUGGCCCACGGAAUUUGAGACGGAAUGUGGAUAUGAAGAAUGCUUGAGGAGCUUAAGGUGGGGCUAUCUAUCACGUGGUGAUUUUUGGGAUAAAAGCCACUUAAUGCGACAAAUUGAGAAGUAUGCAGAUAUAUAUACCUCUAGGGUGUCAAACUUUCUAUAUUACACACCCUUUAUGUAUUUCCG